UUCCCUACGGGGGGCAGCAGUGAGGAAUAUUGGUCAAUGGGCGGAAGCCUGAACCAGCCAAGUCGCGUGAGGGAAUAAGGCCCUACGGGUCGUAAACCUCCUUUGCCGGGGAGCAAGGGCCGGGACGAGUCCCGGUCCGGAGAGUACCCGGAGAAAAAGCAUCGGCUAACUCCGUGCCAGCAGCCGCGGUAAUACGGAGGAUGCGAGCGUUAUCCGGAUUUACUGGGUGUAAAGGGAGCGUAGACGGCAGUGCAAGUCUGGAGUGAAAGGCGGGGGCUCAACCCCCGGACUGCUCUGGAAACUGU
rnacentral:rRNA from 1 species